UACGUAGGGGGCAAGCGUUGUCCGGAUUUACUGGGCGUAAAGGGCGCGUAGGCGGCAUGACAAGUCACUUGUGAAAUCUCCGGGCUUAACUCGGAACGGUCAAGUGAUACUGUCGCGCUAGAGUGCGGAAGGGGCAAUCAGAAUUCUUGGUGUAGCGGUGAAAUGCGUAGAUAUCAAGAGGAAUACCUGAGGUGAAGACGGGUUGCUAGGCCGACACUGACGCUGAAGCGCGAAAGCCAGGGGAGCAAACGGG
rnacentral:rRNA from 1 species